rnacentral:tRNA from 1 species
AAGGCCCUAGCUUAAUUAAAGUAUCUGGGUUGCAUUCAGGGGAUGCAGGUUAGCACCCUGCGGGUCUUA